rnacentral:rRNA from 1 species
GUGGGGAAUCUUCCGCAAUGGACGAAAGUCUGACGGAGCAACGCCGCGUGAGUGAAGAAGGUUUUCGGAUCGUAAAGCUCUUUCGUUAGGGACGAACGUGCUCUUUGUGAAUAAUGAGGAGUAAUGACGGUACCUAAAUAAGAAGCCACGGCUAACUACGUGCCAGCAGCCGCGGUAAUACGUAGGUGGCAAGCGUUGUCCGGAAUUAUUGGGCGUAAAGCGCGCGCAGGCGGGAUAUCAAGUCCGUCUUAAAAGUGCGAGGCUCAACCUCGUGAGGGGACAGAAACUGGUAUUCUUGAGUGUCGGAGAGGAAAGUGGAAUUCCAAGUGUAGCGGUGAAAUGCGUAGAGAUUUGGAAGAACACCAGUGGCGAAGGCGACUUUCUGGACGAUGUCUGACGCUGAGGCGCGAAAGCUAGGGGAGCGAACGGGAUUAGAAACCCGUGUAGUCC